rnacentral:rRNA from 1 species
CCCUUAGAUGUUCUGGGCCGCACGCGCGCUACACUGAAGGGAUCAGCGUGUUUUCCCUUCCCGAGGGGGACGGGUAACCCGCUGAACCCCCUUCGUGGUAGGGAUCGGAGCUUGCAAUUGUUCUCCGUGAACCAGGAAUUCCCAGUAAGCGCAAGUCAUAAGCUUGCGUUGAUUACGUCCCUGCCCUUUGUACACACCGCCCGUCGCUACUACCGAUUGAACGUUUUAGUGAGGUAUUUGGACUGGGCCUUGGGAGGUUUCGGCCUCCCUUGUUGCUCGGAAAGACUCCCAAACUUGAGCGUUUAGAGGAAGUAAAAGUCGUAACA